GCACUGCGAUGAAGCCAGUGAUCUUCUUUACAGGGAUUACCAGACGGAUCACAAGUUCACCGUCAAGACGUACACAUCCAACGGAGUCGUGAGCAAUCAUUCUCUUUUCUUGGGGGAAUGUUACCUCGGCCAGUGGAUCUGAAAUAACAAGAAGCAGCAUACAUGGGAUAUCUAACUUGUGGCCAUCAGUAUAAUUUUGUUACUUUCUUUUGGUGAUUAAUGUUUUCUGUUGACUUCAUCAGCUUGUCAGGUGAAUGAUGGUAGUUUGGCUACAAAACAUAGGCUCUGCAGCAGCCAUAGGAGGUGUCUAUUAUACUACCGUGUUUAGUUGUCAAAAGCAUUGCAUCAAGUAUAAUUCGGACGGCUUCUUAUUUUA